CUUAAUUUCCCCAUCUAUACUGAGGCUGUAGUACUCCCUAAAGAUCCCUUUUUGUGCUGAAGUUCUGUGGUUCCAAUUCCCUUGCUUUUGCACAGCCGGGCAGGCUAGGGUGCAGCUUUGAUCUCCCCAGACUGGAUCCUGUCCUAGCACCAACUCCCUCCCACCCACUCACGUGGAUUCUAGGCUUGCAUUUUUGCUGGAGUAAUAUUUUUCUGGUGUUUAUUUUUAAAAGGUCUGCAUCUGUGGUGACCGUCUCCCAUUUGGAAAAUUAACUGCUUACAGAUGUUGUGUGUGGCACAGCCUUCUCCCAGGCAGUGAAACCACUGGGGCUUGGAUUUCAUUUCAAAAGGAAGAGGAGGGAAGCAAAGCUGCGUGUCUCUGAUAAAGCUCAGAGCCAGAUCGAAUGUGAAUUGAAGCCAUUUUCCUUGCCCCCAGGUUUCCGGGUCCCUGAACAAGAUCUUCUAUUCUCGGGAUAUGGGAGGCAUCAGCACAGUAGAAAACGAAGCUGACCAUCUCUCAGGAGGCAGACUGAAAUAUUGUCUAAUCUGGAGAAGCUACACCGCUCAAUAUGGAGGUUAGGAGAAGAGCCUAGAACACUCUGCUAGCUGCAAUGGAACCCCUUAAAGACACUCUGGUUCAAUAUCCGGGGUCCUGAGGCUGCUGUGGUGUGGAAGGCAGUGAAGUGGAAUAUCAUCAGGCUUAGGUUGGGAAUCUCUUCAGGCUUGCUUUCUGCAAAUCGCUGGGUACAAAACAUUAUUGCAGAUGUGGAAAAAAUGUGCAGAGAACCUGUGCUUCUGAUAAUGCCUGACAUGAAGAAAUGCAUCUGAAGAUCCUUUAUGAAAUGAAACUACUUAUUAAGAAAAACAGCCACUGAGGUGUUUAUACAAACAGCCAUACUAAGCAGUUUUAAUGAAGAUCGGCUUCAACAAAAGGAAUUCACUUAUUCAGUAGGUAAGCAGAGUGACACGUUUUCAUAGUCAUUGUGUUUAUCAUGAAAGUCAGUCUGAUAUUCUGCCCCAUUGUGAAACAAGGGUAAGUCUGAAAACACUUUUAAAAUCUGUCUAGCCAAGUGGUUGGAAUAGCUGCAAGCAGAAAUAGCGUCGAGUUUGAGAAAUGACAAGCCUAG
ensembl:lncRNA